rnacentral:lncRNA from 1 species
AGUGGUGUAUUCACAUGUGAUCAUUUGUUGGUAAGUAUAUUUUUCAUAGCUUCAUUUAUAUAGGAAAUGUUAUCAACUUAUCCUUUUUUAAUAAUAGUUUGUUUGUAAUUUUACAAUAUUAUCAUAUCCCCAAGUUUUGUAGGAUACUUCCUUAUUUUUGGUGUCGGCUAUCUGGUAAAAGAAGGUCCAACUAGAGACUAUGGAACGCCAUGACUGUCUUCUGAUGUUGAUUGUUCAAUAUGUUCAGUGCUUAAAGCAUCAAAUUCAGUAGUAUUUAUAUAAUGUUCAGUACUUUCGACGUUCUGUUCAGAAGAUUCAAUAUAAUUUGCAAUACAUUAUGUAUUACCUUCAGUGGUCUCAGUUUCUUUAUAUUCGGUGGAUUAAUCAUUAUGUUCAGUAAAAUCAUCAGUAUACUAUACUCGGUUCAAUGAACUAUAUGUCAUGUAUGUUAAGUGGUUAUAUCAUUAUAAUGAUGCAGUAAAAGUCGGGAAAUCAAUCACGGAAAUUGUCCAAAAAAAACGAACGCGGAUAUUUUUGACGGACAAUUUCUUCAUGGACACCUUUACCAUUUUACGGGCUGGAAUGAAAAUGGAAGAAAUGGAAGCAGCAAUAAAUCGGUUUGGUUUACGUUCCCUCGUUGGCAAUUUUCACAAGAAAAAUUAACUUCCGACUUAAUUUGUAAGAUGUCAUGAUUGAUUGUUUGUUGUUUUUUGAACUUACAGUGGGAAAUAUUUCAUGCAUAUUUAGGACGGAGAGAAGAAUUUGUAUUCCAGAAACAAGAAGUUGCAUGCGUUGUUGGAGAUACACAAUGACCAUAGAGAGACGACAAAUUAAUAGUGUCCAUCAUUGUGUCAGAAAUUAUUACAAAAAUGAUAAAACGAUGUAAUAAUUUAUGAAACAAUUGCAGAAGAUUGAAAGGUAAUCUUUGUCUGCAAUAGUGGAAGAAAUCGUACGUCAAGAUUUGUUAACUCGUGCAAGAUCGUCAUUUCCGAAGAAAAUAUCGAUUGUACAUAAUUUGCAUGGUAACAUCAAUGAACCAGUUCUUAAACGACCAGUUCAACAUUCCAUUCCAUAUCAAUAAUAAAUUCGGUAUUCAGAAAAAGUUUAGUUUUUCUUUUUAUCAUUUAAGGUGGUAUAGGAGUCUGAAUUAAAAAUGAUAGAAUUUGUUCAUACUUUGUCAAAACGUAGUAUAUAUUGAUACAUGUUAAAAAAUAUAAUAAAAAUGAUAGAUUACCGCGCAUUUCCUUAAGCUACAGGUUGUGACAAAAUGACACAUUUUAUAUGGAUUAUACAGGAAAAAACACCAUUAUGUGAUUAGCAACUAAAAUAAAUGAUAGAAUUUUUAAAUGAAAUACGAGAAGAUAGCUUUUAAAAGUGCUUUGAGAAUAUCAAAAGAAAAGAUAGGGUCACCGUGAGUUUUUUCCGGCUAAUAUACAAAAUAGCAAAUUCUAUGUAGAUUCCUCAGAAAAUGCUCUAUUAUAGAGUUACCUCCCUUCAAAACGCAAAUUCAAAAACAUUAAAAAAAAUGUAAAAACUAAUCAACACUUGUAAUAUAUUAAUAUCUAUAAGUUAUAAUCUUAUAAAUUUGUUCUUUUAAUUGUAAAUUCACAUUAGUUAUCUGCAUUCCUGCAUCAAAUUUUGCUAACUAUAUUGAAAAUCUGGACCUUAGAUUCUCUGUUUUUUACAAUCCAAGAUGGCAAAAGACACCUUGAUUCUGUAAUUACUUCAUUUAUUCCAGUUUAAAAUAAUUUUAACACCCCUUUAUUAUCUUUUCUUUUUCUUUUUUACCAACUUUUUGGUUUUUUUUGGGGUGAGGGACAUUAUUCUCUAUUCUGUUAACCUCAUCCACAACCUCAUAUAUCUUGGGUUACUUCAAAUAAAUGCCUGAUAUCCACGCGCCAAUUAAACAUGUGUAGGAUGCAGAAUAGUAUAAGUAUAUCUACAAGAAGAUUUUAGGUGGUCUCUUAAAAGUCAUUGUAUGAGGUUAAUAUGCUACAACCAACCAACAAAAAAGGGUUAACUACUAGGAAUACUAAAAUUAAAUAAUAUGUUUUAGGUUUGCACUCCGUCAAUAUGUCCGUCUGUCUGUCUGUCAAUCAGUCAGUCCGGCAAAUCAGUUUCCACAAUUUUUUCUUCGUUCUUGAAGAUAUUGAUUUGAUAUUUGGUAUAUAGUUUAAUCAUGACAAGCUAUAGAUCAAGUUCGAUUUUUUUCUCGGUCUGAUGAUUUACUCCAGAGUAAUGGUCUUUAUCUAAUGUUAAACCAUAUUUCUGUCCAAAACAAGAUAACUCCUUUUGUCAAUGACAUUCUUUGGUAUAUAAUAAGCAUAUGAUAAAAAGAUCAUAACAUGUCAUUUUUCAUAUCUCAUGUAUUAUCAGCCCUGGGUCAAUAUCAGCCCUCGAACCAUGCGGCUCUUGGGCUGAUAUUGAACCUAGGGCUGAUAAUUCAUGCGAUAUGAAAAAUGCCAUGUAAUAAUCUGAUAAUAUUAUAUUGUGUAGAUAAAAGAUGUUGACAUUUUAUAGGUCAAUUACAAAUCUAUUAUAUUCCCAAUUACCAUUCUCAGUUUUUGUUUAGGACAAAUGGACGAAAAAAUAUUUGGAACUAUUAAAUAUAUUUGAUUAUAAUUUGAAAAUAGUAUUACAUUAUAUCUAAAUUUAGUGAACUAUUUAUCAUAUGUAAUGUUAGAGUGUUUUCCAUACUUUUUUCAUCAUGCUUAAAGAUAGUGGUUGAUAAUCUGUAUAUAGUUUUAUCAUGACAAGUUACAAAUUAAGAUUUUCGUUUCAGUCUGAUAAUUUUGUUCAGAGCUAUGGUCAAUGGACUAGAAAAUUCACUCAUAUAAUCAGUUUUCUACACUGCUUUUAGACAUGCUUGAAGAUAUUGACUUGAUAUUUUCUCUAUGUUUACACCAUGACAAGUUAUAAAACAAGUUAGUAUUUUGUUCCAGUAUAAUGAAUUUUUACCCGGUAGGCGACUAUAUAUUGCCAUGCAAUACUCGCAGAAUGCUUGUUAUAUUAUAUUUUUUGCUGUUUGUCUUUUUGUCGCCUAUCUAUGGUCAUGGUGUAUCAACGACAACGCAUGCAACUUAUAAUGUCUUGCUUAAAUUUUUUUUCUCCGUCAUAAAUAUGCGUGAAAUAUUUGCCACUGUACGUUCAGAAAACACUGAACAAUCAAUCAAUCAUGAUAUAUUACAAAUUAAGUCAGGAGUCAAUUUUUCCUUGUGAAAAUUGCUAACGUGGGAACGUAAACCAAACCGAUUUAUUACUGCUUCCAUUUCUUCCAUUUCCAUUCCAUCAUGUAUAUAAAAGAUGAAAAGCUAUAAUCCAAAAGGUCAAAAAGUAUAGCCAAAGGUAAAGGUGUCCACGAAGAAAACGUCCCUCAAAAAUGUCGAAAAUCAGUUUAUAUGAAAUAACAAACAAACCUGCCACAAAAUUCUUCAGACAAUUUACCAAAGAAUGUCAUUGAAAAAAUGAGUUAUCUCCCUUUGGACAGAAAUAUGGUUUAACAAUAGAUAUGAACCAUAACUCUGGAGUAAAUCAUCAGACCGGGAAAACAUCGAACUUGAUCUAUAGCUUUUCAUGAUAAAACUAUAUACCAAAUAUCAAAUCAAACUCUUCAAGAAUGAAGAAAAAAAAAAUUGGAAACUGAUUUGCCGGACUGACCGAUUGACAGACAGUCAGACAGACGGACAGAUUGACGAAGUGCAAACCUAACACAUAUUAUUUAAUUUUAGUAUUACUAGUAGUUAACCCUUUUUGUUUGUGGUUGUAGCAUAUAAACUUCACACACCGACUUUUAAGAGACCAUCUAAAAUCUCUUUGUAGAUAUACUAAUACUAUUCUGCAUCCUACACCUGCUAAUAGACGCUUGGAUGUCAGGCAUUUAUUUGAAAUAAUCCAAGAUAUAUGAGGUUGUUGAUGAGGUUUACAGAAUAGAGAAUAAUGCCCCUCCCCCAAAAAGAAAAGAAAAGUUGGUAAAAAAGAAUAGAGAAUAAAGGGGUGCAUAAAUGUAAAAAAAAACCCAACAUGUUUAAAUUUUGGAAAAAUGAAGUGAUUACAGAAUUAAAUGAUUAAGAGAAUACCUAAACUGAAUACCGAAUCUAUUAUUGAUAUGGAAUGGAAUGUUGAACUGGUCGUUUCAGAACUGGUUCAUUGAUGUUACCAUGCAAAUUAUGUACAAUCGAUAUUUUCUUCGAAAAUGACGAUCUUGCACGAGUUAACAAAUCUUGACGUACGAUUUCGUACAAUAUUACAAACAAAGAUAACCUUGCAAUCUUCUGCAAUUGUUUAUUAUUGUUUUAUCAUUUUUGUAAUAGUUUCUGACGCAAUGAUGGUCAAAAUUGAUUUGUCGUCUCUCUAUGGUCAUUGUGUAUCACCGACAACGCAUGCAACUUCUUGUUUCUUGAAUAAAAAUUCUUCUCUCCGUCCUAAAUAUGCGUGAAAUAUUUGCCACUGUACGUUUAGAAAACAACAAUCGACCAAUCAUGACAUCUUACAAAUUAAGUCGGGAGUUAAAUUUUCCUAGUUAAAAUUGCCUCGUGGAACGUAAACCAAAUCGAUUUAUUGUUGCUUCCAUCUCUUCCAUUUUCAUUGAAAACCGUAAAAUGGAAAAGGUGUCUUUGAAAAAAAAUGUCCGUCAAAAAUAUCCGCGUUCUUUUUUUUUGACAAUUUCCGUGAUUGAUUUCCCGACUUUUACUGCAUCAUUACAAUGAUACAACCACUGAACAUAUAGUUCAUUGAGCCGAGUAUACUGCUGAUGCUUUUACUGAACAUAAUAAUUAAUCCACCGAAUAUAAAGAAACUGAGACUACUGAAGGUAAUACAUAAUGUAUUGCAAGUAAUGUUGAAUCUACUGAACAGAACGUCGAAAGUACUGAACAUUAUGAAGAAGUCACUGAAUAUAACGUCAGAAGUACAGAACAUAAUUUAAAUACCACUUCAUAAAAUAAAGAAACUGAACAUUAUAACCUAAGUACCGAUUAUAAUGUCAAAACUACUGAACAUAAUGUCAAAACUACUGAACAUAAUGUCAAAACUACUGAACAUAAUAUGAAAACUACUGAACAUAAUAUAAAAACUACUGAACAUAAUAUAAAUACUACUGAACAUAAGGCAUAAAGCACCGAACACAUUGAACAAUCAACACCAGAAGACAGUCCUGGCGUUCCAUAAGAGACUAAACAUUCUUUUGUCAAAUGGUAAUUAUGACGAAUGUUGAUCUUAAAGCAAUCAUACAUCAUCUCAUAGUGUUUCCCCACCUAAAACAUAUUAACAGUAGCAAUACGAAAGGAUUAAGUUAGUAUAAACUGGAACAUAUAUUUUGUUAGAUAAACUAAUCACAGGGUUACACAUAUUCAAAAUCAAAAUGAAUGCAUAAUUGAAGUUGCGAUUAGAAUGAUAAGUGAACAAGGAAAACACAUGUGCUAUUUUUUUUCCAUAAAUACAUUAUUGUUUGAUUACACAAUUUUGUCGUUCAAAAAAAAUAUGCAUAGAGAGUCGAGCAUGCUAAAAUCUAAUUUUUAUUUUUGAAUUCCGAUACGCAUGCUUAAUCAUAAACAAUAUUUAGUUAUUCAUAAUUGUAACUCCGAAUUCUUUUUAAUAACCAGAUGUGGUGAAAUAUAUGGCUUCAUUCUUUCCAUGUGGACCCUGUGGUCACGAAGGAAACACACAAAAUGCAGAGAAAUGGUGCACGGAUUGUAACGAAGGGUUUUGUUAUGUAUGUGAGAAGGCACAUAAGUCAAUGGGAAUAACGAGAGACCACAAUUUGAUCCUAAUCGAAGACUACCGUAAAAUUGAAAAUGUGAAUGUUUGUGUUCAGUGCGAGGAACAUGGAUCCAAGCUGGACAUGUAUUGCAAAGUGCAUGAAAAGGCAAUUUGUAUUGCAUGCUUUCCUACAAAGCAUAAAGAUUGCUCUGACUCCAUAAUUCCUCUUGCAGAAGCAGCGAAAAAUGCGAAAAAAUCCACUGCACUAGCGGACUUUGAACACACAAUAAACGAAACAUUAGUAAACAUACUAAAAUGUCGUAAUGAUCGCAAGGCUGCAACCGAAAGAAUCGAAAUACAAGAAAAAAUCAUCAAGAAGCGUAUUUUUGAUACGAGGGAAACUCUAAAUAAACAUUUAGAUGAUCUGGAAAGAAAAUUAUUAAAUGAGUUGACAACAUCACAUACUUGUUGUAAAUCAAAAUAUGGGACAAUACAGAUCAAACUAAAUGAAAUGGAAAAAGAAAUUAAACGCCUCCAAGAACAAACAUCCAAACUGAAACGUUUUGCCCCAGACAUACAGGUAUUUUUGAGUACAUAUCAGAUGAAUAAAAAAAUACACGACGAGGUAAAGUCCAUAACAAAAGCCUUACUUUCUGUUAGGGAUUACAACAUAGAAAUAGAGAUACACCAGGGUAUUACUACACUGCUGAAAGAUGUCGACUACUUUGCUAGGGUAAAAAUCGACGAAAGAACCAUCAACUGUCCAUUUAAGGAUGCGAAAAUCGAUCAAGCCCAAAUACAAGUACCAACCAGACAGCAAGUACCAACUAGAAGAUCUGUUCAUAAUACAAAGCUGCAUCUUCGAAAGAAGAUCAAAAUUGAACAGAAAGGAAGGGAAAUGUGCAUCACAGGAUGUGCAAUAUUGGCAAAUGGUAACUUAUUAAUUGCCGACAACGCUGGAGAGAAUGUAAUAAUGGAGUAUAAUAAAGACGGACGUUUAAUCCGUGAUAUACCCGUAUCAGCAAAGCCAUCAAAUCUGACAGUAAUAACUACCGACCAAAUUGCUGUUUCUUAUAACACUCUGAAGUACAUUGAGAUUAUAGAUUUAAAGAAAAUGAUAGUGCUGAAAACUGUGACAUUAAAAAAUAAUUGUUGGGGGAUAUCAUACAGGGAUGGAAAGAUUUACGUUGUGGUGUUCUGUGAAGGAAUCGUGGUGUUGGAUAUUGAGGGAACUAUACUUAAAACAAUCCAGUGUGACAUAUAUGUGAAUGAUAUCGCGACGAUCGGUGACAGAAUCUACUACACAGAGCUUAAUUCGAGUACUGUUAAAUGUUGUACUACAGCUGGAAACAGUAUAUGGAAUUUUAAGGAUAAAUCACUUACUACACCGGGCGGCAUUGCCACUGAUUGUGCCAAAAAUGUGUUUGUUGUGGGUAUAUAUUCUAAUAACCUUAUGAUAUUGCAAGAUGAUGGAACAGUCAGCAAAACAUUACUUACCGAAGCAGACGGGCUUAACAGAUCAACAAGUCUAUAUUACAGUAAGGAAACGAAGAGUUUACUGGUGUGCAACAAAUGCGAUCGAACUG